ACGGCCUUACUUGAACAUGAUAUUUUCUAUAGGCUCGUACCGCUGCAUCCUUUACCCAGGCAAGCACUUCAGUAUGGUUCAUGCAUUUUUGACCUCUAGGCUAGAGCGGGAUUAACGGCUUGGAUGUAUCCUGAUGGGAGCGUUCGAUGGCUGUAGAGGAUCGUUCCUGCCUUGUUCAUGCAUGUGCAGGGUGGCCUAGAGGUUGUCUGACAGACU
rfam:Triticum aestivum genome assembly, contig: Triticum_aestivum_CS42_TGACv1_scaffold_289188_4AL